AACCUCCGCAAUGUGAGAAAUCGCGACGGGGGGAUCCCAAGUGCCAUUCCUAACGGGAUGGCUUUUCAUUAGUGUAAAGAGCUUUUUGGAAUAAGGGCUGGGCAAGACCAGUGCCAGCCGCCGCGGUAACACCGGCCAGCUCUAGUGGUAGCAGUUUUUAUUGGGCCUAAAGCGUCCGUAGCCGGUUUAAUAAGUCUCUGGUGAAAUCCUGUAGCUUAACUGUGGGAAUUGCUGGAGAUACUAUUAGACUUGAGACCGGGAGAGGUUAGAGGUACUCCCAGGGUAGAGGUGAAAUUCUGUAAUCCUGGGAGGACCGCCUGUUGCGAAGGCGUCUAACUGGAACGGUUCUGACGGUGAGGGACGAAAGUUAGGGGCGCGAACCGGAUUUAGAUACCCGGGUAGUCCUAACUGUAAACGAUGCGGACUUGGUGUUGGGGUGGCUUUGAGCUGCUCCAGUGCCGAAGGGAAGCUGUUAAGUCCGCCGCCUGGGAAGUACGGUCGCAAGACUGAAACUUAAAGGAAUU
rnacentral:rRNA from 1 species